rnacentral:tRNA from 1 species
GGUCAGAGGAGGGGGGCAAAAGGACGUCGCCCUCUCACGGCGAAAACAGGGGUUCGAGUCCCCUAGGGAGCGCCA